rnacentral:rRNA from 1 species
AUGCUAACCGAAUUGACCGAUGGACAACUAGGCUGGACAUUAUCACAUGACGCCAGCCUCAACUUGCAUGGCCAUAUGAUUUGCACUCUUAAAAUACAGCCCAAGGUGACAUGGAGGGUUGUUGGAAGCAGCGGCGGACCAGUUAGCUUGACCGAUAAUGAUGCGGAGGACGAUUGGGCCACACCGUAUCACUCUGAAUAUUCCUGGAACUCGGAUGACGACAACUUCAUCGACAUGGUUCGAGGCGCCGACCACCAUGAGUUGGUAGAAUAG